AGCCUUGCUUCACCUCUCCUAGAUCUCAUUUAAAUGCUGACUGCCACUGAGGAAGGAUCUCUUCCUGGAGAUCACUCCUUGUGGAGGAUAUUGUAAGCCUACAACAUCACAGACAAAAGUCAUGAAAAAAGAAGGUUACUCAGUGGUUGAUCUUAAAGCUUCUGGGUCUGAGCUAAGCAUUGAAGAAGCCUUUUUCUUCAGAGCCUCCAGAAGAGUGAAUGGUAUUUUCUAACAAAACACUUACGAUUGGAUCUGACUAGACCUCAGUGGGCAGAUUCAUUUGUAGGCCAAGUGCAUCUUUCAUUGAAGGCGGUGGAAACAUUUUCUUUGGCUUCAAUAAGUUUUGAUUCAAGUCUGUAUCUGCUCCAUGGUCACAGGACACCAGCUUUGGCCGUACUACAUUGUCAUUCAUUCCUCCCUGCCACACGCGUGCCUGACCAUAUAGGAAAAUGAGUUUACAACCGACUACGCCUAUGGGACUCCCGGAGGGAUACAAUGUGAGAGCCUUUACUAGUGGUGGAUGGUCCUCAAAAGGUUUGAAAGUUUGUGUUUCAGGUGUUGUAAAGCAAUCUGCAUCCCUUGAACUUGCAUGGAUCUUCACUGGCUUAUCCUGGCUGAGCAAGAGGCAGAAAAGACCAACAGUGCAAAAGACCAUAGUGGUAAAAUAAAGGAAAUGUUUCUGGUCCAAAAGGAGCAAUGGCAGCGAUGCUAAAUGGGAUCUCAUCCCCUAAUGGGGACCAAACUACAGACUGCUCCCAGAGCCUCGGGGCAGGAAGGGGCUCUCAAGUGAGACCUUCUCCAUGGAUUGGAGAAGGCACUAAGCCUGGGCAGGCAGAAUGUAACACCUUCCUUAAGCAGACAGCAUUAGCUGCAGAGGAGUGUAGCUGUGCUCUUAGCUCAU